rnacentral:rRNA from 1 species
AUGCCUCCUAUUUAUGAUGAUUAUAUUGAUGAAAGUGGAUUUGGAGAGGUCAUGACUUUAUUUAAUGAUGAAUCCACUAUUUCAGAAGAGGUUUCAAUUGAUUAUGAGAAUAAAGUUCCUAUCUAUGAUGAUUAUUGUGAUGACAUGUAUGCUAUAAAGAACAAUGAUAACCAUGAAACUUGUCAUCUUGAUUUUAAUAUUCAAUUGGAUUAUGCCUCACAUGAUAGUUAUUUUGUUGAGUUUGCUCCCACUACUAUUCAUGAGAAGAAUUUUGCUUAUGUGGAGAGUAAUAAAAUUUCUAUGCUUGUAGAUCAUGAAAAGAAUGCUUUAUGUGAUAGUUAUAUUGUUGAAUUCAUUCAUGAUGCUACUGAAAAUUAUUAUGAGGGAGGAAUAUGUGCUUGUAGGAAUUGCAAUAAUAUCAAGUUUCCUCUCUAUAUGCUUAAAGUUUUAAAGUUAAGCUUGUUUUACCUUCUUAUGCUAGUUGAUUAUUGUUCCCAUAAGUUGUUUGCUUACAAAAUCUCUAUGCAUAGGAAGUGGGUUAGACUUAGAUGUGUUAGUAAUAUUCUUCAUGAUGCUCUCUUUAUGUUUCAAUUCUUAUCUUUUAUGCGAGCAUCAUUGAAAUCAUCAUGCCUAGCUAAAAGGCAUUAA